CUUAAAAUUUAGUAGGGUGCACCUACGUGAACCAGAGAAAAUUACGUCAAUUUAGACAGCAACAUCAGUGCUAAUGACAUUCGAAUAAAAAAAUCAUGGGUCACGUUGGCGCAGGCAUUUAAAAACUAAACUAGAGGCUCUAAAGAGCCUGUGUCGCUCACCUUGGUCUAUGUGAAUAUCAAACAAUGGACACAGAUGGAUUCAUGACAAAAUUGUGUUUUGGUGAUGGUGAUGUGUUUGUAGAUCUUACUUUACUAAACAUUCUUGCUGCUUACAAUUAUCUCUAUCUAUAACAGUACUUUCUGUGGAAAAAGUUAUUGAAAAUCUUCAAAUUUUAAGAAAAUUGUUAAAAAUUGACUAUGAAGGGCAAUAACUCCUUAGGGGGUCAAUUGACUAUUUUGGUCAUACUGACUUAUUUUUAGUUCUUACUUUGCUGUACAUUAUUGCUGUUUACAGUUUAUCUCUAUCUAUAAUAAUAUUCAAGAU
rnacentral:lncRNA from 1 species